rnacentral:rRNA from 1 species
CGCCAGACUCCUACGGGAGGCAGCAGUGAGGAAUAUUGGUCAAUGGGCGGAAGCCUGAACCAGCCAAGUCGCGUGAGGGAGGAAGGCCCUGCGGGUCGCAGACCUCUUUGGACGGGGAGCAAGGCCGCCGACGUGUCGGCGGAAGGAGAGUACCCGUAGAACAAGCAUCGGCUAACUCCGUGCCAGCAGCCGCGGUAAUACGGAGGGUGCGAGCGUUAAUCGGAAUUACUGGGCGUAAAGCGCACGUAGGCUGUAUGACAAGUCAAGGGUGAAAUGCCACGGCUCAACCGUGGAACUGCCUUUGAAACUGUCAAACUGGAGUAUGUGAGAGGGCGGCGGAAUUCCUGGUGUAGGAGUGAAAUCCGUAGAUAUCAGGAGGAACAUCAGUGGCGAAGGCGGCCGCCUGGCACAAAACUGACGCUGAGGUGCGAAAGCGUGGGUAGCAAACAGGAUUAGAUACCCGCGUAC